AGAGUUUCUUUCUGGCUCAGGAUGAACGCUGGCGGCGUGCUUAACACAUGCAAGUCGAACGAUGAAACAAAGACGGAGGCUUCGGCCAACUGAUUUGUGGAUUAGUGGCGGACGGGUGAGUAACGCGUGAGUAACCUGCCUUUCAGUGGGGAAUAACAUUUGGAAACGAAUGGUAAUACCGCAUAAUAUAGUCGAACCGCAUGAUUUGACUAUCAAAGAUUUAUUGCUGAAAGAUGGACUCGCGUCCGAUUAGCUAGAUGGUGAGGUAACGGCCCACCAUGGCGACGAUCGGUAGCCGGACUGAGAGGUUGAACGGCCACAUUGGGACUGAGACACGGUCCAAACUCCUACGGGAGGCAGCAGUAAGGAAUAUUGGUCAAUGGCCGGAAGGCUGAACCAGCCAUGCCGCGUGCAGGAAGACGGCCCUAUGGGUUGUAAACUGCUUUUGUCAGGGGCUAUAGGCAUCCACGCGUGGGUGUAGGAAGGUACCUGAAGAAUAAGCAUCGGCUAACUCCGUGCCAGCAGCCGCGGUAAUACGGAGGAUGCAAGCGUUAUCCGGAUUUAUUGGGUUUAAAGGGUGCGCAGGCGGACCGGUAAGUCAGUGGUGAAAUCCACAUGCCCAACAUGUGAAGUGCCAUUGAUACUGCCGGACUAGUAUGCAAGGGGCGCGGCCGGGAAUGUGGUGUGUAGCGGUGAAAUGCUUAGAUAUGCCACAGAACGCCGAUCGUGAAGACAGGUCGCGAACUUGCCAUAGACGCUCAAGCACGAAAGCGUGGGGAUCAAACAGGAUUAGAUACCCUGGUAGUCCACGCUGUAAACGAUGAUGACUCGUUGUCGGGUAGUGAUAUUCGGCGGCCAAGCGAAAGCGAUAAGUCAUCCACCUGGGGAGUACGAUCGCAAGGUUGAAACUCAAAGGAAUUGACGGGGGCCCGCACAAGCGGAGGAGCAUGUGGUUUAAUUCGAUGAUACGCGAGGAACCUUACCCAGGCUUGAAUUGCAACUGAAUGCGCAGGAGACUGCGCAGCCUACGGGCAGUUGUGAAGGUGCUGCAUGGUUGUCGUCAGCUCGUGCCGUGAGGUGUCAGGUUAAGUCCUAUAACGAGCGCAACCCCUACUGCCAGUUGCCAACGGGUAAAGCCGGGGACUCUGGCGGGACUGCCCGCGCAAGCGGAGAGGAAGGUGGGGAUGACGUCAAAUCAGCACGGCCCUUAUGUCCGGGGCUACACACGUGCUACAAUGGCCGGCACAGAGGGCAGCUACCCUGCGAGGGGAUGCGAAUCUCGAAAGUCGGUCUCAGUUCGGAUCGGAGUCUGCAACCCGACUCCGUGAAGUUGGAUUCGCUAGUAAUCGCGCAUCAGCCAUGGCGCGGUGAAUACGUUCCCGGGCCUUGCACUCACCGCCCGUCAAG
rnacentral:rRNA from 1 species